UACGGAGGGUGCUAGCGUUACUCGGAAUGACUGGGCGUAAAGGGCGCGUAGGCGGACUGGCAAGUCUGGCGUGAAAUCCCAGGGCUCAACCCUGGAAGGGCGCCUGAAACGUGUAGGCUAGAGUUCCGGAGAGGAGGGGGGAAUUUCCGGUGUAGCGGUGAAAUGCGUAGAUAUUGGAAAGAAUACCGGUGGCGAAGGCGGCCACCUGGUCGUAAACUGACGCUGAGGCGCGAAAGCGUGGGGAGCAAACAGG
rnacentral:rRNA from 1 species